rnacentral:rRNA from 1 species
GAUGAACGCUAGCUACAGGCUUAACACAUGCAAGUCGAGGGGAAACGGCAUUGAGUGCUUGCACUCUUUGGACGUCGACCGGCGCACGGGUGAGUAACGCGUAUCCAACCUUCCCAUUACUGUGGGAUAACCUGCCGAAAGGCAGACUAAUACCGCAUAGUCUUCGAUGACGGCAUCAGAUUUGAAGUAAAGAUUUAUCGGUAAUGGAUGGGGAUGCGUCUGAUUAGCUUGUUGGCGGGGUAACGGCCCACCAAGGCGACGAUCAGUAGGGGUUCUGAGAGGAAGGUCCCCCACAUUGGAACUGAGACACGGUCCAAACUCCUACGGGAGGCAGCAGUGAGGAAUAUUGGUCAAUGGACGGAAGUCUGAACCAGCCAAGUAGCGUGCAGGAUGACGGCCCUAGGGGUUGUAAACUGCUUUUGUAUGGGGAUAAAGUUAGGGACGUGUCCCUAUUUGCAGGUACCAUACGAAUAAGGACCGGCUAAUUCCGUG